AAAAAGACAGAGAAGGUGGUUGAUUCUUUUGUGUUUGGAUUGUUCAUUCCAGGGUUCUUGUAGUUAUGUUUGGUGGAGAUCAGGAGAGGAAACUCCAGGUCAGUGCAAGGCAAGAGCACCAAUCUGCAUCCCUCCUCACUGACACAAUACCACGGAGCCCUUGGUGACACUUAGCUCAAGUAUCAGCCUUUGCCACACACUGUUUUGACCUUGGACACACUUUGAAUCGAAGAGGGGAAAACGGGAGACGGUGGUUGUGCAGCCGAGUGCAGCUACCUCUUCAAACUGCUAUGUGCUUCUAUGACUCUGAAUGUUGACAGCCUCCUCCCUGAGGUCAGGCACCAGCUUGGAUUGCGUUCGUCAUAAAUCAUCAUGGCCAGCAGCGAUUGAGCAGCUGCUAAGGUUAAUUACAUAUAGUGGAGAACUAGCCAUGUGACCUUCUGCAGGGAACUACAGAUUUCAUAGCCUCCUUUCUUCUCCACUGGCAUGGAGGCAGGACUGGGCUGCUGCUUGGAGAUCUGUCAGUUCUGAAAUCCCAGACCUUUGUUGGAAUUCCUGCAUUUGACCUUUCUGAGAGUGAAGAGCUCAAGAUUUCCAGGAACUCACAAAAAAAAGCCUUUUGGACCCCGUGGAAUGAAGGUGUGUGGAAAUGGUCACAGGAGGAGGCUAAGGUGGCCUGGUCCAAAUCAUGUGGGUCACACCAGCCAAGGGAAGGAAAGUGACCAAAGGGGUUAGCUCGAGGAAGUGAGUUCUUUACACAAGACAUUAGUAUUCUUUCCUUACCCAGAUAUUUGUCUUAAUGUGGUUUUGUUGGUAGUGUUUAAAAAGAUGGUUCAAGGGGCUGGGGCAUACCAUGGUGCUUGUCUAGCCUUUCCAAAGCCCUGGGUUCAACCCCAACACCAAACUAUACAAACAAAUGAAUGACAUAAAGAUGACGAGGACAAAAUGACAGACUGUAGUGAAGUGAGCACAAAGAGCCAGUUUCCUCUCAUUGCCAGCUGCCAUGUAUCAUUUCAGAAAUGUUCUAGAAAUAGGAACAAUUACAUGUGUUUUCUUUUGCUUUGUCACAGCUGGUAACACAGUAUACGUUCUUCUGUGCCUGUUGUUUUUAAUUAAUGUCACAAUAUAUCUUGAUGCUCACUAGUCACCUUUUGAUAAACAGUCUUUUCUGUUACAAUAAAAUUGUUACUCCCAAGAUUAUUUUUACUGUAUGACCCUGUUAGAACACUUGGAAGUUUCCAGAGAUUUCACUCUGGUCACAUCCCCUGCCUUUUAUCCUUGGAAAAGGUUAAGUCCCCAAAACACUCACAGCUUUUCAAGGUUUCAUGGCUAUUUGAGGCAAGGCUGGGACUAGAAUUUGUUUCUCCUAACCACCCUUCAGUUCAAUUUUACUUUCUGAUUAUAUGAAAUUAUACAUGUUGUAAUUAAAAAUGCUGUCUUGAGUGGUAUGCAUUCUGUAACCCAUUCUUUUUUUUUUUUUUUUUUUUUUUUUUUUAGUUUUAAUUUUAGUUUUCUUAGACUAGGGUGUAUGCUGUGCAGAGACCAGUUUAGAGGGUCAUGCACAAAGAUGCUAACAGUGCUCAUCUCGAGAUUACAUUGGUAUAGGAAAUCUUUGUACCUUGUGUGUGCGGAGGGGUUCUCAUGUUUGGACAUACGCACGCAGGUUCAUGUACUGCAGGUGGAACCCAGGGCCUUGGACAUGCUAGCACUCAAUAACAGAACUAUAUACCCUCCCCAACCCUGACUUUUUAUGACAAGAACUUGUUAUGACAAGGACUAACUAUGUAGCCUUGGCUGGACUACAAUUCACUAUGUAGACCAAAUUGGCCUCAAACUCACAGCUUCCCAAGGGCUGGGAUUAAAGGCAUGUACUUCCAUGCCCCACCCCAAACCCUCCUUUCUUUCUUUCUUUUUUUUUUUUUUUGAGUCAGGGUUUCUCUGUGUAGCCGUGGCUGUCCUGGACUCACUUUGUAGACCAGGCUGGGCUCAAACGCACAGGGAUCUGUCUGCUCUGCCUCCCUGAGUGCUCAGAUUAUAGGCGAGUGCCACCACGGCCCACUUCCCACUUGUUAAUAGAAACAGGCAUUGUGAGCUUCCUGACAUGGCUGCUGGAAAUCUAGCUCCAGUCCUCUGGGAGAGCCAUAUAUGCUCUUAACCAUGGAGCCAUCUUUUUGUAAAGUACACAUAACCCAUUUCAAGUGUACAGUUUAAAGGUUUCUUUCAAUGAUUUGCACAACAUAACUGCAGAUCAACUUUAAACUGCCUUCUUUGCCUCAAAAUGAAACCCUGUAUAAAGCAACAGUCUCUUCCUAUAUACUUUUAUUCUUGGUUUAUAUUUUUAAUUUUUUCACAAUAGUUGUUAGUCAUAUGAAUAGACAAAGUUAGUGACAAUAAUGUAAUAUGAACUUUAAAAAUAAAAUACAGGAAAAAGUA